AACGAACGCUGGCGGUAUGCCUAACACAUGCAAGUCGAACGAGAUCUUCGGGUCUAGUGGCGCACGGGUGCGUAACGCGUGGGAAUCUGCCCUUUGGUUCGGAAUAACAGUUGGAAACGACUGCUAAUACCGGAUGAUGACGAAAGUCCAAAGAUUUAUCGCCAGAGGAUGAGCCCGCGUAGGAUUAGCUAGUUGGUGUGGUAAAGGCGCACCAAGGCGACGAUCCUUAGCUGGUCUGAGAGGAUGAUCAGCCACACUGGGACUGAGACACGGCCCAGACUCCGACGGGAGGCAGCAGUGGGGAAUAUUGGACAAUGGGCGAAAGCCUGAUCCAGCAAUGCCGCGUGAGUGAUGAAGGCCUUAGGGUUGUAAAGCUCUUUUACCCGGGAUGAUAAUGACAGUACCGGGAGAAUAAGCUCCGGCUAACUCCGUGCCAGCAGCCGCGGUAA
rnacentral:rRNA from 1 species